UCACUGAGCGGUAGAAGCGGUGUGGUGGUCGUGGGAGCGGUCUGAGACUUCGGCAUUGGGUAAGCGUUUUUGGAUUUAUCCGUGACUUGAGGUCUCGCCAGGCGUUGAUGCCGCGAGCCGUGGCCGUUGGGAGCCG